GGAGCGGUAUCGAAGUGGUCAUAACGGGACUGACUCGAAAUCAGUUGACGGGCAACCGUCCGUGGGUUCGAAUCCCACCCGCUCCGCCA
rnacentral:tRNA from 4 species